rnacentral:pre_miRNA from 1 species
CUCGUACUCCCUCCGUCCGGAAAUACUUGUCUUCAAACUGGAUAAAAAGGGAUGUAUCUAGAUGUAUUUUAGUUCUAGAUACAUCUUUUUUAUCCAUUUUGAUGACAAGUAUUUUCGGACGGAGGGAGUAGAUG